rnacentral:misc_RNA from 1 species
UGGGGCUUGUGUUCUCUUGAUAACUUCCGUUAACAACUUCUCAAAAGGCAUACCAGGCAAUUUCAUUGAUUUGGCUUCAGCCUCUUGCUGGGCAUCCAAUAAAUUUUGAUUAAAACCAGCUUCCUUCUGUAAACCUGAAGGCAUUAACUGGUGGUUAUUUUGAGAUUGAAAGUGAAGCAACUGGGCUUCAACUGCCCCCACUUGGUUUGUGGAUGUUGAUCCAUUUGAUGGAUGAGCAGCAUCUAGCACCUUUUUGCCCUUAAAAGCCACUGCAUCAGCAGGUUGGGUUGCAACUGAAGACAAUUCGCCAGAAGUCCCAUUUGAUAAAUCAACAGGAUGGAGUACAACAGGCACCACAUUGCCUCUUGAGUUCCCAGGAGAAGAAGCAUGACUUGCCAUUGAAGGCACUUGUUUGCCUUUGGAGGCUACCGGAUUAGCAGCUUGAGCUGUAUGAAAAGUACCAUUUCUCUCCCUAGACCGGGGAUUAUGGCUAGGGACCUGAGCAUAAUUUUCUCUUGGGAUGGGAAUCUCAUUUCUUCUGAUCAUUUGGAUGCCUGGGGCAACAUCAUUGUCUGUGGAAACAGGAACACAUCGUCCAGGCUUAAAAACAACACCCCUCAAAGUGGUUUCUGAGUUGCCAACCCUAACAGUGAGUAAAUAUCCAGCAUCAAAUGCUGCCUCGAUGACACCAUGAACUACUUGACCCACCAUGAUAUCACUUGCAUCAUUAACUGGAUCUACUUGGCGGGGUUGAUUUCCAUUGACCGUUACAAAUCCAGGCGGAACAUAAGAGCUUCCCCCAUGAUUUGGAUUCUGGCCCCUUGCAGCACGAACAUCCACCCCAUGACCAAGAUCUAGCCUUGGAUACUUACGUGGACGACCACGCUUGCGCUUCACGGGAACAAGUGCUGAUUCAUCAGGAUGAUUCCCUUGAUUUGCUUCACUCAUGUUCAGUAUAAGUCAAAUAAACUUUCCUUGCUUUCCACACAACCUAUUGAUAUGGUUUUCCCUCCCUGCAGAAGCAAUGUUCAGUGGGGAAGAG